UACGUAGGGGGCAAGCGUUGUCCGGAAUCAUUGGGCGUAAAGAGCAUGUAGGCGGCUUGGUAAGUCGGCUGUGAAAGUCGGGGGCUCAACCCUCGAAUGCCGGUCGAUACUGCCAAGCUAGAGUCCGGAAGAGGCGAGUGGAAUUCCUGGUGUAGCGGUGAAAUGCGCAGAUAUCAGGAGGAACACCGGUGGCGAAGGCGGGUCUCUGGGCAGUAACUGACGCUGAGGAGCGAAAGCGUGGGGAGCGAACAGG
rnacentral:rRNA from 1 species